GGGCCCGUAGCUCAUCUGGUAGAGCGCUGCGUUCGCAUCGCAGAGGUGAGGAGUUCGAGUCUCCUCGGGUCCACCA
rnacentral:tRNA from 1 species